GUCCUCAGACAUUUGACUACUGGAAUCAAUCUCAUUCAAAAAAUAUCUAAGAAAACCUGAAGUUGGUGGCCAGAUGGACAUGGAGGAGUAAGUGAGGAAGAAAAAAAAAAAAAGAAGAGGAAAGAGCUUGAUGAAUUAAUGUUUGAUGGAAAAACAGAUUUGAAAACAGAUCCAUGGAACUUUGUCCUUUAAUAUAACAACAAACACAAGACUUCUCUAUUUGCUGAGAUGGAAGGACUCACAUAUACCCACAAUGGAAGAAUGGAUGGUGAACUUAAUGGAGUUGGCAGAGAUGGUGAAAUUGACUGUUUUGAUUAAAGAAAAGACUUUGUCUAGCUUCAUUUUGAUUUGGAAGCUACUAUUGGAUUUUUUUAUUGAAACUGAAAGAAAUGAAAUUAUAACAUUGGGUUUUGAUGGUUAGAUAUUGUUUGUAAUGAUAGAAGUACUAUUAGUUAUGAUUUAUUCCAGUUCAAAGGGUUAUUGGUUUGUAGCUUUUUAUCUGUAGUGAAAAAAGUUGGACAUUAUUUUUUCUGUAACUUUUUUCCCUUUUUGUUUCCUAAUUAUUUUUCUUACCCUCUUGCCUCUUUAUUUUAAAUUUUUUUUCCUUCAGUUUUUUUGUAUUUUAUACAAAAUUCAAUAAAGUUUUGGAA